rnacentral:rRNA from 1 species
GACGAACGCUGGCGGCGUGCUUAACACAUGCAAGUCGAGCGAUGAAGUCUCUUCGGAGAUGGAUUAGCGGCGGACGGGUGAGUAACACGUGGGUAACCUGCCUCAUAGAGGGGAAUAGCCUUUCGAAAGGAAGAUUAAUACCCCAUAAGAUUGUAGUACCGCAUGGUAUAGCAAUUAAAGGAGUAAUCCGCUAUGAGAUGGACCCGCGUCGCAUUAGCUAGUUGGUGAGGUAACGGCUCACCAAGGCGACGAUGCGUAGCCGACCUGAGAGGGUGAUCGGCCACAUUGGGACUGAGACACGGCCCAGACUCCUACGGGAGGCAGCAGUGGGGAAUAUUGCACAAUGGGGGAAACCCUGAUGCAGCAACGCCGCGUGAGUGAUGACGGUCUUCGGAUUGUAAAGCUCUGUCUUCAGGGACGAUAAUGACGGUACCUGAGGAGGAAGCCACGGCUAACUACGUGCCAGCCGCCGCCGUAA